rnacentral:rRNA from 1 species
AGACGACGCUGGCGGCGUGGAUUAGGCAUGCAAGUCGAACGGUAUCAUCCUUUCGGGGGUGAGAGAGUGGCGAACUGGUGAGUAACACGUAGGUUAUCUACCCUCAAGACGGGGACAAACCCAGGGAAACUUUGGGCUAAUACCGGAUGUGAGCAACUUUUAGUUGUUUGAAAGGUGGCGUAAGCUGUCGCUUGGGGAUGAGCCUGCGUCCUAUUAGUUAGUUGGUGAGGUAACGGCUCACCUAGGCAAUGAUAGGUAGGCGGCCUUAACGGGUGGUCGCCCACACUGGGAUUGAGAUACGGCCCAGACUCCUACGGGAGGCAGCAGUCGAGAAUAGUCUACAAUGGUCGGAAGACUGAUAGUGCGACGCCGCGUGAACGAUGAAUCCCUUCGGGGUGUAAAGUUCUUUUAUAUGUGAGCAGUGCUUCUUAUAUUAACAGUAUGGGGAGAGAGAUAUUAGCAUAUGAAUAAGCAACGGCUAACUCCGUG